AGUAGUAUAGUUUAUUUGAAGGAUGUGUUACAGAAGUAAUACCAUUGGAAAUUUCUUUUGUAUAUGAAUUUAAUGAUGCAUUUUUUUUUUCAUAAAACCCACAUUCAUUUGUUUUAAAUUAUGGUUAAAACUGAAUUCGAGUUAUGUGCCGUGCCUUGACCGGCCCGGUUGCCCAGCUAUAUGUCACCUGCACAUCCCAAAUCCUCUAAAAACAAACAAAACAAAAAACCUGCACACCCCAAAACGUUUCUUCCCUCGAACAUCAACCGCAUCUUCAGGUUAAUGGCGACCACAUCUCAGGCUCUCCAGGUGUGCCCGGUCUUCUAGCUCCAGGUUCUCCUAACUCACCCUCCUGUCCCCUGAGCGGAAAGGA
rnacentral:lncRNA from 1 species